GAUGAACGCUGGCGGCGUGCCUAACACAUGCAAGUCGAACGAAGCACUUUCACAGAUCCCCUUCGGGGGUGAAGUGAUUGUGACUUAGUGGCGGACGGGUGAGUAACGCGUGGGUAACCUGCCUCAUACAGGGGGAUAACAGCUGGAAACGGCUGCUAAAACCGCAUAAGCACACAGCAUCGCAUGAUGCAGUGUGAAAAUAUUUAUAGGUAUGAGAUGGGCCCGCGUCUGAUUAGCUAGUUGGUGAGGUAAAGGCUCACCAAGGCGACGAUCAGUAGCCGGCUUGAGAGAGUGACCGGCCACAUUGGGACUGAGACACGGCCCAAACUCCUACGGGAGGCAGCAGUGGGGAAUAUUGCACAAUGGGGGAAACCCUGAUGCAGCGACGCCGCGUGAGUGAAGAAGUACUUCGGUAUGUAAAGCUCUAUCAGCAGGGAAGAAAAUGACGGUACCUGACUAAGAAGCCCCGGCUAACUACGUG
rnacentral:rRNA from 1 species